rnacentral:rRNA from 1 species
CCUACGGGUGGCAGCAGUGAGGAAUAUUGGUCAAUGGGCUCGAGCCUGAACCAGCCAAGUAGCGUGAAGGAUGACUGCCCUACGUGUUGUAAACUUCUUUUCUAAAGGAAUAAAGUGAGGCACGUGUGCCUUUUUGUAUGUACUUUAUGAAUAAGGAUCGGCUAACUCCGUGCCCGCAGCCGCGGUAAUACGGAGGCACCGAGCGUUCUCCGGAGUUAUUGGGUUUAAAGGGAGCGUAGAUGGGUUGUUAAGUCAGUUGUGAAAGUUUGCGGCUCAACCGUAAAAGUGCAAUUGAUACUGGCAGUCUUGAGUACAGUUGAGGUAGGCGGAAUUCGUGGUGUAGCGGUGAAAUGCUUAGAUAUCACGAAGAACUCCGAUUGCGAAGGCAGCUUACUAAACUGCCACUGACAUUGAUGCUCGAAAGUGUGGGUAUCAAACAGGAUUAGAUACCCUAGUAGUC